AGGCAACAGCCCGGAAGCCGCAGGCUGGGUUAAUCUGUGGCGCGCUCCGCGGUUCCGGCGCCUGAAGUUUUAGUUGAGGUGGCGGCGGCAGUAGUCGGGACCGACUACAAGAUGUCAUUUGUCAGAGUGAACCGCUGUGGUCCCCGAGUUGGUGUAAGAAAGACACCAAAAGUAAAGAAGAAGAAAACUUCAGUGAAACAAGAAUGGGAUAAUACUGUGACUGAUCUAACAGUUCAUCGGGCAACUCCUGAAGAUCUGGUACGCCGUCAUGAAAUACACAAAUCAAAGAAUAGAGCAUUAGUACAUUGGGAACUCCAAGAAAAAGCUUUGAAGAGAAAAUGGAGGAAGCAGAAACCAGAAACUUUAAAUCUUGAGAAAAGAAGAUUGUCUAUCAUGAAGGAGAUUCUUUCUGAUCAAUACCAGAUGCAAGAUGUGUUGGAGAAAUCUGAUCAUCUAAUAGCUGCAGCAAAAGAGCUGUUUCCUCGUAGGCGCACAGGGUUUCCAAAUAUAACAGUGGCUCCUGAUUCCUCUCAGGGUCCCAUUGUGGUAAAUCAAGACCCUAUCACCCAAUCUAUCUUUAAUGAGUCUGUCAUAGAACCUCAGGCUCUUAAUGAUGUGGAUGGUGAAGAAGAAGGAACUGUUACUAGCCAGUCAGGAGAAAGUGAGAAUGAGAAUGAGUUGGAUAACUCUCUAAACUCUCAGUCUAACACGAAUACAGACAGGUUUCUCCAGCAACUAACGGAAGAGAAUUCUGAGUUAAUUAGUAAGUUGUGGACUGAUAUUCAGCAGAAAAUAGUAACCCAGUCACAAAUAACUCCUCCAGGAACGCCAUCAUCUGCUCUUUCAUCAGGGGAACAAAGAGCUGCUCUGAAUGCUACCCAUGCUGUCAACAGAUUCCAAACCAGGCUUCAGCCUGAAGAAUCUACUGAGACUCUAGACUCAAGCUAUGUUGUGGGACACGUGCUGAACUCAAGGAAGCAAAAACAGCUGUUAAAUAAAGUGAAAAGAAAACCGAAUUUGCAUGCUCUUUCCAAGCCAAAGAAAAACAUGUUAUCAGGUAGCACAACCUCUGCAGACUUACCAAAUAGGACAAAUUCCAACCUGGAUGUCCUCAAACACAUGAUACAUGAAGUGGAACAUGAAAUGGAAGAAUAUGAGCGGUGGACAGGUCGCGAGGUCAAGGGACUGCAGAGCAGUCAGGGUCUUACAGGCUUCACUUUGUCGCUGGUGAGCUCCCUCUGUCGCCUGGUUCGGUACCUUAAAGAGAGUGAGAUCCAGCUACGUAAAGAAGUAGAGACAAGACAACAACUGGAACAAGUGUUAGGUGAUCAUCGAGAGCUCAUUGAUGCUCUGACAGCUGAAAUUCUUCGUCUUAGAGAAGAAAACGCUGCUACACAGGCAAGACUUCAGCAGUACAUGGUCACAACAGAUGAGCAACUGAUAUCACUCACACAUGCUAUUAAGAACUGUCCUGUGAUAAAUAACAGACAAGAAAUUCAGGCAUCAGAAAGCGGAGCCACAGGUAGAAGAGUUAUGGACAGUCCAGAGGGUCCAGUUGUAAAUGCCAAUGUCUCAGUGCCAUUGAUGUUCAGAGAGGAAGUGGCUGAAUUCCCACAGGAACAGUUGCCUGUUAAACUGUCUCAGGUGCCAGACCCUCCAGAUAAGAUGAAUCUGGCCAAGAAUUUUCCAGCACAUAUUUUUGAGCCAGCUGUGUUGUUAACACCACCCAGGCAGAAGAGCAACUUAAAAUUCUCUCCUCUUCAGGACGUAUUGAGAAGGACUGUUCAAACUCGUCCUGCUCCACGACUUCUUCCAACUGUGGAAAUAAUUGAGAAGGAACAAAAUUGGGAAGAGAAGACCUUACCUAUUGAUACAGACAGUCAGAAUUCAAGUGAAGAGAAUCGUCUCUUCACUCAGAGAUGGAGAGUCUCUCAUAUGGGAGAAGAUUUGGAGAACAAAACUCAGGCGCCUUUUGUUAACCUCUCACAGCCCCUCUGCAGUUCCCAUUCCAACACUCAACAGUCAAGAAGCCCCACAUUUUCAGAAGAGCUCACAGUACUGGGAGAUGGGCAGCAGCUGAGAACAAAUGAGUCAUUAAUACAAAGAAAGGACAUAAUGACACGAAUUGCUGAUUUGACAUUGCAGAAUUCAGCUAUCAAGGCACAUAUGAAUAAUAUUAUUGAUCCCAGAGGAGAGCAAGGGGAUGGACUCCGGGAGUUGAACAAACAAGAAAGUGCAAGUGACAUGACUUCUACUUUUCCAGUAGCACAGUCUCUAACACCAGGUAGUAUGGAGGAACGGAUUGCAGAAUUGAAUCGACAAAGUAUGGAGGCUCGUGGAAAACUACUGCAGUUGAUAGAGCAGCAGAAACUUGUUGGUUUGAAUCUUUCUCCACCAAUGUCACCUGUUCAGUUACCUCUCAGAGCAUGGACUGAAGGAGCAAAGAGGACAAUUGAGGUAUCUAUUCCAGGAGCAGAAGCCCCAGAAAGCUCAAAAUGUAGUACUGUCUCUCCUGUCAGCGAGAUAAAUACAAGAAGAUCUUCCGGGGCUACUAGUAAUUCUUGUUCUCCACUAAAUGCCACCUCGGGAAGUGGGAGAUUCACACCUCUUAAUCCAAGAGCAAAGAUUGAGAAACAGAAUGAAGAAGGCUGGUUUGCUCUUUCUACCCAUGUAUCAUAAGUGAAGUCAAGUCUCACUGAGUUUGUUCUUAAUAAUUUAUUACUCCCCUUUCCCUGCUCUGACUUUUAAGUUUUUAUAUCCUUUCAGAUAAAACCUACAAAGAUCCUGUGAAUUAGUACUAAUGAAACAGGGAAAUAAAGCAAUUAUUUUUUGACUUUCUCAAAUAAGUUUUCAACAACCAGCUGACCUACAGCUCCCGGUGAAUGAAAUUUUGACUGUAGAGAAGUUAAAGUUUUGUAUUUUAAUACUUUCUUAAGUAUUUUAAGGGUCUUUUUUUUGAUUAAUACAUUUUUACCUUUAUCUUUUUUCAGGGCUUUUUGAGGUUUAGUGUAUCUUAGUUGAUCCAUUUAUUUAUUUAUUUUCCUAAAGAACUAAUUUGCUUUGCAUGUAACUUAUAAUAAAAUUCCUCUGUGUGAUUAGAGUCUGGCUUUCAGGAAAAUGUAACACCCACUUUUCUUUCUUUUUUCUUGGGAAGUCAUUGCUGUUCAUCACUUUGUCCAUCAGGUGAAAUAUACAGCCUUAAAAAAAAAUAGGCCUGGGAGUGUUUGUUUAUAUUUGCUUAAGCAGUGUCAUGAGGCGGAAAAGGCCCGACCAGAGGGCGGAUAGAUACCGGGUUCCCGGAAAGCUGGACGCCGGUCGCGCAUGCGCCCCACGGCCCGCCCUGGUUCCGCCUCCCUGGAAGACGGGGGCGUUGUCUCGGUAACCGGAGUAAACGGAGGCCUCCGGCAGAAGCUGUGAAGAGAGGAGCCACGGCGGUCAGUACCUUCGCUGUAUUUCACAUUGCAAAGUAAAAACCGAGAGCCUGUUUUAUACAUCAGUCACUGUGAAUCUUAAAUAACCACCUCUGGCACACUGCUGGGAUUGAGUGAGCUUGUGAGCGUGAGGACCAGAACCUGGACUCUGGUGAAUGAAUCAGAGUAACGUCACCUUAGAGAGCACUCUGUCUGGCAUCCAGCCAACCUUCUAGCAACACACUCCUCUGCAUCAAUGUGUACUAUUAUUUUCCCUUUUUCUUUAUACUUCCUUAGGGUUGACCCUGUCAACCUAAAUAACAUACAGAGAGCGGCUUUCUAAAAGAAGAUGAUGUUUAUUGAGGAGUAAGGCAUUGCAAUGGAAUAUGUGUGCCAUGGUAAACUAUAUGUGUGUUCAGGGAGGUAAAGGAAAACAAGGGUUUUAAAGGAAAAAUGAAAAAGACUACGUAAUUAUUUUGAGAUAAUUCUCCUUGGCUACAAAGAUCAACAGUAAGUGUGAUGCUAGUCUGAGGCUGGACAGGCAGUUGUUGGGCAGAUGUCCUUGCAGUAUUUUUUUUUUAUGUGUAAGGUUAUGAUGGCUUUUGUGCAAGGCUGUGGUCUUUUGGGAUAGUUAUCCAGCAUACAAGCGUGAGAACCCAUUCUUCAUAGCCUUCCCCAGCUCUAUUUGUCAGGGUUCUUUCUUAACACUGGUGACUCCAUUCUAAUUCUGACAACUUUCACAACUAAAAACUGCACAGUCUAUCUAAUGAGUUAGUUAAAAGAAUUGGCCAUAGGCUGGACGAAUAAGCCUGGAUCUAAUGAAACGAAAUUUAUGCUAGUCCUGCAAAUAGACUCCCAAACCUAGCUAGUUUACUGAUAGAAGGUAGAACAUGGUCUAGAACCCAAACUUAGACUGCCUUAAAGGAAUACAAUGAAUGUCCCCGAUAGGUGAAUUGGUAGUUCCUCUCUUCUGGAAAGUGUCCAGAUCCUACGAAGAACAUAUAAAAUUAGGAGGUAUAUAUGAUGCAUUGGGAAUUAACUUCUUGAGCUAUCAGGGUGGUAAAGAAAAGUUGGAAACAUGUCAUUGAGGAAUAAUUGAAAUAAUUGGGAUACUUUCUCUGGGAAAAGAGAAGAUCUGGAGAGAAAUGAGAGCCAACUACAAUUAUUUGAAUGGUUGAAGUACACAGAAAAACUUGUUCUGUGUGUUCUCGGAAGAAAAAAUAAGGGUCAAAUGGAUCCAAGUUGCAGGGAGGCAGAUUUCAGCUUAAUAUAAAAUGUACUAAGAACUAGAGCUGAGCAUGAACAGAAUGUGCUCACCCUCUUACCCGAAAUAUUUAAAUUGAAGCUGACUGACAAUCUUGUUCUUUCAUUUAUUCAGGAAUAUAUCAAUAAAUUCAUUCCUGCAACCAUUU